UACGGAGGGUGCAAGCGUUAAUCGGAAUUACUGGGCGUAAAGCGCACGUAGGCGGAUAUUUAAGUCAGGGGUGAAAUCCCAGAGCUCAACUCUGGAACUGCCUUUGAUACUGGGUAUCUUGAGUAUGGAAGAGGUAAGUGGAAUUGCGAGUGUAGAGGUGAAAUUCGUAGAUAUUCGCAGGAACACCAGUGGCGAAGGCGGCUUACUGGUCCAUUACUGACGCUGAGGUGCGAAAGCGUGGGGAGCAAACAGG
rnacentral:rRNA from 1 species